rnacentral:rRNA from 1 species
GAUGAACGCUGGCGGCGUGCCUAAUACAUGCAAGUCGAGCGAACAGACGAGGAGCUUGCUCCUCUGACGUUAGCGGCGGACGGGUGAGUAACACGUGGAUAACCUACCUAUAAGACUGGGAUAACUUCGGGAAACCGGAGCUAAUACCGGAUAACAUGUUGAACCGCAUGGUUCAACAGUGAAAGACGGUCUUGCUGUCACUUAUAGAUGGAUCCGCGCCGCAUUAGCUAGUUGGUAAGGUAACGGCUUAUCAAGGCAACGAUGCGUAGCCGACCUGAGAGGGUGAUCGGCCACACUGGAACUGAGACACGGUCCAGACUACUACGGGAGGCAGCAGUAGGGAAUCUUCCGCAAUGGGCGAAAGCCUGACGGAGCAACGCCGCGUGAGUGAAGAAGGUCUUCGGAUCGUAAAACUCUGUUAUUAGGGAAGAACAAAUGUGUAAGUAACUAUGCACGUCUUGACGGUACCUAAUCAGAAAGCCACGGCUAACUACGUG